rnacentral:rRNA from 1 species
GCCUAUUAAUUGUAGGCCAGUAUGAAAGAAUAAACUUGGAUAAACUUUAUUUAUUUUAAAAAUGAAUUUAAAAGAAAUUAAAAAAUUUUUCUUAAAUUGUCAGACGAGAAGACCCUAAAAACUAAUUUAAUAAAAUUUUUUGGGGAAAAUAAAAAAUAUUCAUCUUUUUCAUUAUCAAAAUAUCAACUUAAAAAUAAGUUACUUUAGGGAUAACAGAACAAUUCUUAAUAAAAGAACAAAUUAAAUUAAGAAAUUGUGACCUCGAUGUUGGAUUCUUGAAUCUUUAAAUUGCAGCCAAUUUAGAAGAAUAGACUGUUCGUUUUUCAAAUCAAGACGUGAUCU